UGCACGUUGGCAGACUGGGAAAUCUCUGCAGGCAAAUGUGAUGUCACUGAAGAAAUCACACACUUACUUGUAGAGAUUCUUCAGUCUGACAACAUCAAGCAU
ensembl:miRNA Mir216b microRNA 216b